GAUGAACGCUGGCGGCGUGCCUAAUACAUGCCAGUCGAGCGAACGGACGAGAAGCUUGCUUCUCUGAUGUUAGCGGCGGACGGGUGAGUAACACGUGGAUAACCUACCUAUAAGACUGGGAUAACUUCGGGAAACCGGAGCUAAUACCGGAUGAUAUUUUGAACCGCAUGGUUCAAAAGUGAAAGACGGUCUUGCUGUCACUUAUAGAUGGAUCCGCGCUGCAUUAGCUAGUUGGUAAGGUAACGGCUUACCAAGGCAACGAUGCAUAGCCGACCUGAGAGGGUGAUCGGCCACACUGGAACUGAGACACGGUCCAGACUCCUACGGGAGGCAGCAGUAGGGAAUCUUCCGCAAUGGGCGAAAGCCUGACGGAGCAACGCCGCGCGAGUGAUGAAGGUCUUCGGAUCGUAAAACUCUGUUAUUAGGGAAGAACAUAUGUGUAAGUAACUGUGCACAUCUUGACGGUACCUAAUCAGAAAGCCACGGCUAACUACGUG
rnacentral:rRNA from 1 species